CACACACCCACACACACACACACACACACACACACACACACACACACACACACACACACACACACACACACACACACACACACACACACACACACAGACCCUGAGGAUUGAUGAAUGUCACUUCCAGCUGAUCUGAGUUCAGUUUCAGCUGAAAGCUGUUGAGUAAUUUAUGCCACUGUAAAUACUACAAGUUACCACGGUUACCAGACACACCCUGCACUACAGUGGGUCGAAAGUCACCAUAUAGGUAGUAAACAGGUAGUAAACAGGUAGCAAACAGGCAGUACACAGGCAGUAAACAGGCAGUACACAGGCAGUAAACAGGUAGUAAACAGGUAGCAAACAGGCAGUACACAGGCAGUAAACAGGCAGUACACAGGCAGUAAACAGGCAGUAAACAGGUAGUACACAGGCAGUAAACAGGUAGUACACAGACAGUAAACAGGCAGUAAACAGGUAGUACAAAGGUAGUAAACAGGUUGAAAACAAGUAUUAAACAGGCAGUACACAGGCAGUAAACAGGUAGUACAAAGGCAGUAAACAGGCAGUAAACAGUCAGCAAACAGGUAGUACACAGGCAGUACACAGGUAGUACACAGGCAGUAAACAGGUAGUACACAGGCAGUAAACAGGCAGUAAACAGGUAGUACACAGGUAGUAAACAGGUAGUAAACAGGUUGAAAACAAGUAUUAAACAGGCAGUACACAGGCAGUAAACAGGCAGUAAACAGGCAGUACACAGGUAGUACACAGGUAGUACACAGGCAGUAAACAGGCAGUAAACAGGUAGUACACAGGUAGUACACAGGCAGUAAACAGGCAGUAAACAGGUAGUACAAAGGCAGUAAACAGGCAGUAAACAGGUAGUACACAGGCAGUACACAGGCAGUAAACAGGUAGUAAACAGGUAGUACAAAGGUAGUAAACAGGUUGAAAACAAGUAUUAAACAGGCAGUACACAGGCAGUACACAGGCAGUACAAAGGCAGUAAACAGGUAGUACACAGGCAGUAAACAGGUAGUAAACAGGUAGUAAACAGGCAGUAAACAGGUAGUACACAGGCAGUAAACAGGCAGUAAACAGGCAGUACACAGGUAGUACACAGGCAGUAAACAGGUAGUAAACAGGUAGUACACAGGCAGUAAACAGGUAGUACACAGGCAGUAAACAGGUAGUACACAGGCAGUAAACAGGCAGUAAACAGGUAGUACACAGGUAGUAAACAGGCAGUAAACAGGUAGUACACAGGUAGUACACAGGCAGUAAACAGGUAGUACACAGGCAGUAAACAGGUAGUACACAGGCAGUAAACAGGUAGUACAUAGGCAGUAAACAGGCAGUAAACAGGUAGUACACAGGUAGUACACAGGCAGUAAACAGGCAGUAAACAGGUAGUACACAGGUAGUACACAGGUAGUAAACAGGUAGUAAACAGGUAGUACAAAGGUAGAAAACAGGCAGUAAACAGGUAGUAAACAGGCAGUACACAGGCAGUACACAGGCAGUAAACAGGUAGUAAACAGGCAGUAAACAGGUAGUACACAGGCAGUAAACAGGUAGUACACAGGCAGUAAACAGGUAGUAAACAGGUAGUACAAGGGUAGUAAACAGGUUGAAAACAAGUAUUAAACAGGUAGUAAACAGGCAGUAAACAGGUAGUACACAGGUAAUAGUCUCUCUCUCUUAGUGUACUGUCUCUCUCAGUGUACUUUCUCUCUCUCUCAGUGUACUUUCUCUCUCUCUCUCUCA